AUCGCUUCUCGGCCUUUUGGCUAAGCUCAAGUGUAGUUAUCUGUUCUUAUCAGUUUAAUAUCUG
ensembl:snRNA U2 U2 spliceosomal RNA